AGUGAACGCUGGCGGUAGGCCUAACACAUGCAAGUCGAACGGCAGCACAGUAAGAGCUUGCUCUUACGGGUGGCGAGUGGCGGACGGGUGAGGAAUACAUCGGAAUCUACUUUUUCGUGGGGGAUAACGUAGGGAAACUUACGCUAAUACCGCAUACGACCUACGGGUGAAAGCAGGGGAUCUUCGGACCUUGCGCGAUUGAAUGAGCCGAUGUCGGAUUAGCUAGUUGGCGGGGUAAAGGCCCACCAAGGCGACGAUCCGUAGCUGGUCUGAGAGGAUGAUCAGCCACACUGGAACUGAGACACGGUCCAGACUCCUACGGGAGGCAGCAGUGGGGAAUAUUGGACAAUGGGCGCAAGCCUGAUCCAGCCAUACCGCGUGGGUGAAGAAGGCCUUCGGGUUGUAAAGCCCUUUUGUUGGGGAAGAAAAGCAGCAGGUUAAUACCCCGCUGUUCUGACGGUACCCAAAGAAUAAGCACCGGCUAACUUCGCG
rnacentral:rRNA from 1 species